rnacentral:rRNA from 1 species
AUUGAACGCUGGCGGAAUGCUUUACACAUGCAAGUCGAACGGUAGAGGGGGCAACCCUCGAGAGUGGCGAACGGGUGAGUAAUAUAUCGGAACGUGCCCAGUCGUGGGGGAUAACGUAGCGAAAGUUACGCUAAUACCGCAUACGAUCUACGGAUGAAAGCGGGGGAUCGCAAGACCUCGCGCGAAUGGAGCGGCCGAUAUCAGAUUAGGUAGUUGGUGGGGUAAAGGCUCACCAAGCCAACGAUCUGUAGCUGGUCUGAGAGGACGACCAGCCACACUGGAACUGAGACACGGUCCAGACUCCUACGGGAGGCAGCAGUGGGGAAUUUUGGACAAUGGGCGCAAGCCUGAUCCAGCAAUGCCGCGUGCAGGAAGAAGGCCUUCGGGUUGUAAACUGCUUUUGUACGGAACGAAAAGGUCUGGGUUAAUACCCUGGGCUCAUGACGGCACCGUAAGAAUAAGCACCGGCUAACUACGUG